rnacentral:rRNA from 1 species
GAUUCUGGCUCAGGAUGAACGCUAGCGGCAGGCUUAACACAUGCAAGUCGAGGGGCAACGCGAGUAGCAAUACUUGGCGGCGACCGGCGCAAGGGUGCGUAACGCGUGAGCAACAUGCCCGUAUCAGGGGGAUAAUCCAGGGAAACUUGGUCUAAUACCCCAUAGUAAUUUUGUAAGGCAUCUUAUAAGAUUUAAAGCUUUGGUGGAUACGGAUUGGCUCGCGUGACAUUAGCUGGAUGGUAAGGUAACGGCUUACCAUGGCUAUGAUGUCUAGGGGUUCUGAGAGGAAGGUCCCCCACACUGGAACUGAGACACGGUCCAGACUCCUACGGGAGGCAGCAGUGAGGAAUAUUGGACAAUGGAUGGAAAUCUGAUCCAGCCAUGCCGCCGUGAAGGAAGAAGGUCCUAUGGAUUGUAAACUUCUUUUGUAUGGGAGCAAUAAGGCCUACGAGUAGGUUGAUGAGAGUACCAUACGAAUAAGCACCGGCUAACUCCGUGCCAGCCGCCGC